rnacentral:tRNA from 1 species
UAUUCAAAGAAGGCGGAUUUUAACCCCCACCUCUAACUCCCAAAGCUAGUAUUCUACUUAAAACUAUUCUCUGC